AAUCCAUGGUGCGGGCAUUUUUGAAUCAACAUUUUAAACCAUUCCCAUACCUCAGAAAAACUCUCCCUCCAUCUGUCUAAAGACAACUAUUUCUCUUCUUAAUU
rfam:Gossypium raimondii Chr03_contig_560, whole genome shotgun sequence.